rnacentral:rRNA from 2 species
UGAUCAUCAUGAGCGAGCUUGAUGGAGCGACACAGAGUGCACGAUGAAGGCCUUCGGAUUGUAAACUGCUGUUAUAGGGAAAGAAAACCUGGUUGAGGAAUGCUUCCAGGCUGACGGUACCCUGUCAGAAAGCGAUGGCUAACUAUGUGCCAGCAGCCGCGGUAAUACAUAGGUCGCAAGCGUUAUCCGGAAUUAUUGGGCGUAAAGCGUUCGUAGGCUGUUUAUUAAGUCUGGAGUCAAAUCCCAGGGCUCAACCCUGGCUCGCUUUGGAUACUGGUAAACUAGAUUUAGAUAGAGGUAAGCGGAAUUCCAUGUGAAGCGGUGAAAUGCGUAGAUAUAUGGAAGAACACCAAAGGCGAAAGCCGCUUACUGGGUCUAUACUGACCCUGAGGGACGAAAGCGUGGGGAGCAAACAGGAUUAAAUACCCUGGUAAUCCCCCCCCUAAACCAUGAUCAUUAAUCUGUGGAGAGUUCACUGACGCACCUAACGCAUUAAAUGAUCCCCCUGAGAAAAUGCUCUCAAAA